AUAAAGUUUUAUUUUAGCUUAAUUAUUUAUUAUUAGUUUAUUUUAUAUGUAAAUUUUUGUGUGAAUUAAUAUUUAUUUUAAUAGUAGAUAUUAUAAUUUUAUUCGCAGUAAUUAAUAUUAUUAAUUAAAGAAAUUUAGAAAUAGUAAUAUUAAAUAGUAUUGACUAAAUUUGUGCCAGCAGUCGCGGUUAUACAAAUAAUGCAAAUAAAUAUUAUUAGUAAAAGUUAAAUUGAUAUUGAUAAUAAAAUAAUAAUAAUUUUUUUAGGUGAAAUUUAAAAAUUAUGUAAUUUUGUAGAAGAGAUUAAUUGAAGCUUAAAAAUUUUAAAUAUAAACUAGGAUUAGAUACCCUAUUAUUUAAAAUGUAAUUAAAAAUACUUGAGUAGUAAUAGUUAUGGUCUUUAAACUUAAAAAAUUUGGCGGUAUUUUAGUCUAUUCAGAGGAACUUGUUUUGUAAUCGAUAAUCCGCGAUGUACCUCACUUAAAUUUGUUUAUCAAUUUAUAUACCGUCGUUAUAGAAUAUUUUAUAAGAAAAAUAAUUUUCAAUAAUUAAUAUAAUAAUAUAUGUCAGAUCAAGGUGUAGUUUAUAUUUAAGUAAUAAUGAGUUACAAUAAAUUUAUUUUUGGAUAUAGAUAUGAAAAAUCUAUUGAAAUUGGAUUUGAUAGUAAAAUUAAAUAGAUCAUUAAUUUGAUUUUAGCUCUAAAAUAUGUACAUAUCGCCCGUCACUCUUAUUAUUAAGAUAAGAUAAGUCGUAACAUAGUAGAGGUACUGGAAAGUGUUUCUAGAAUAU
rnacentral:ncRNA from 1 species